rnacentral:rRNA from 1 species
UACGUAGGGUGCAAGCGUUAUCCGGAAUUAUUGGGCGUAAAGAGCUCGUAGGCGGUUUGUCGCGUCUGCUGUGAAAACCCGAGGCUCAACCUCGGGCCUGCAGUGGGUACGGGCAGACUAGAGUGCGGUAGGGGAGAUUGGAAUUCCUGGUGUAGCGGUGGAAUGCGCAGAUAUCAGGAGGAACACCAAUGGCGAAGGCAGAUCUCUGGGCCGACACUGACACUGAGAGACGAAAGCUAGGGGAGCGAAUGGG